GCUGGGUAUGGUGGCAUACACCUAUAAUGCCUGCUACCAGGGAGGCUGAGGCUGGUGGACUGCUUGAGAUUGGGAGUUUUGAGCUGAAUGCAGUAGGCCUAAAGCUAAUCAGGUGUCCACACUAAGUCUGGCACCAGUAUGGCGAGUCCCUGGGAAUGGAGGGCCACCAGGCUAAGGAGAAGUGACCCUAUCCAGGCCAGAAAUGGAGCAGGUCACAGCUUUUAUGAUAAUUAGUAGUGAGAUCAGGCCUGUGAGUGGUUGCUGCACUUUUAGACUGAGCAGGACAGGGAAAGAUCUAGUCUUUC
rnacentral:SRP_RNA from 1 species